rnacentral:rRNA from 1 species
UACGGAGGGUGCAAGCGUUAAUCGGAAUUACUGGGCGUAAAGGGUGCGUAGGUGGUUUGAUAAGUUAGCUGUGAAAUUCCUGGGCUCAACCUGGGGUGGUCAGCUAAGACUGUUAGACUUUGAGUAUGGGAGAGGGUAGUGGAAUUUCCGGUGUAGCGGUGAAAUGCGUAGAGAUCGGAAGGAACACCAGUGGCGAAGGCGGCUACCUGGCCUAAUACUGACACUGAGGCACGAAAGCGUGGGGAGCAAACGGG